rnacentral:rRNA from 1 species
UACGAGGGGUGCAAGCGUUGCUCGGAAUUAUUGGGCGUAAAGGGCAAGUAGGUGGGCUCAUUUGUCUGGGGUGAAAGCCUUGAGCUUAACUCAAGAAGUGCCCCGGAAACGGUGAGACUAGAGUAUUGGAGAGGGUCGUGGAAUUCCCGGUGUAGCGGUGAAAUGCGUAGAGAUCGGGAGGAACACCAGAGGCGAAGGCGGCGACCUGGACAAUUACUGACACUCAACUGCGAAAGCGUGGGGAGCAAACAGG